UCUUAAACUGAAGAACAAAGUGUAAAUAUUAAGCUGAUAGAGCUUCCGUCAACAGCUAAAAAUAUAAAAGAAAAACAAUCUUCUUCAUAGAUCAGUGAGAAGAAAUAGCCACAACUAUGUUGAACUCAAUCCAAAGAUACUAGAAAAACCUUCAUCCACAACUCCAAUUUGUUUUUAAAAAAUUGAAAUCGAUAAGCUUGAAAAACAAAACGAGCCCUUUAAACAAAGGAGGUUCAAGGAAUUUUAAUUCCAGAUCUAAGAAUUGAAACACAAGAGAGCCAAUCAAACUCAAUACAAAGAAGCCUAAGAGAGAAAACAUAAUCUACACGAGACACCGUAGACGGACGAUGAAACUCUAGACAUAAGCCAGCCAACCACCGUUGUGGAAGCCGACGGAUGCCAGACGGUAGCCGACCACCACCGUUAAAAGAAACGGACGGUGUAAGAAAAAAAGCCGGCCAAACAUCACCAUAAAGACGAGCGCCGCCGGACGGAAAGCUGGACAUCCCUGCUGAGAAAGCUAGAUGAUUCCAGAUAGAUUGAUGGCCAACGAACACUGAAAAGCUGUCGUUGCCGGAAGAAGAA